CUUGCGGCCACAUCACGUUGAAUCACCGGUUCCCGUACGAUCACCAAAGUUAAGCAAUGUCGAGCCUGGUUAGUACCUAGAUGGGUGACAACUUUGAAAUGUCAAGUGCUGUAAG